GGACAGCGGGGUCACGGCCGGCCUUGGCCGCCGCCUUCCCGCGGGGCUUUGGACCUUCCACAGCCGCUUUGCCCCCGGUUUUAGGUGAUUUUUCUCUGUUCUUGCUCUGUUUUUCCCCAUUUUUAGGUGAUUUUUGUCCAUUCCUGCUUUGCUUCGCCUCCUUCCCGCGGGGCUUUGGACCUUCCUCGUCUGCUUUGCCCCCGUUUUUGGGUGAUUUUUGGUUUGCUUUGCCCCAUUUUUGGGUCAUUUUUGUCCAUUCCUGCUUUGCUUCGCCUCCUUCCCGUGGGGGUUUGGACCUUCCACAUCCGCUUUGUCCCGUUUUUGGUGGUUUUUGUCCAUUCCUGAUUUGGUUUCCCCAUUUUUCAGUGAUUUCUGUCUGUUCUUGCUCUGUUUUUCCCCAUUUUUAGGUGAUUUUUGUCCCUUCCUGAUUUGGGUUCCCCAUUUUUAGGUGAUUUUUGUCUGGUUUUGCUUUGUUUUCCCCCAUUUUUAGGUGAUUUUUGUCUGGUUUUGCUCUGAUUUUCCCCAUUUUUUGGUGAUUUUUGUCCAUUCCUGCUUUGCUUCGCCUCCUUCCCACGGGGGUUUGGUCCUUCCACAGCCGCCUUGUCCCCGUUUUUGGGUGCUUUUCGUCUCUUUUUGCUUUGGUUUCCCCCAUUUUUAGGUGAUUUUUGUCCAUUCCUGAUUUGGUUUCCUCGUUUUUAGGUGAUUUUUGUCUGUUUUUGCUGUUUUUCCCCAUUUUUAGGUGGUUUUUGUCCAUUCCU